CUUAUUCUCUCACUAAAGCUUAACAUUUAAAUUCCUAAUUGAUUUGCCACAUUUUCACAGUUGAAAAUACCAACUGUUGUGGAUGCAUGUUCUUGAAUACAUGACUAUUCUGUACUUGCUUCUUCCUCUCGGAACAAAGAAACGAGUUGUACAGUUUUUCAAGAAUACACCCUUUGAUUACAUUUUGUACAAAUUCAUUUCUAAAAUGAACCUUCUUCUGACUUCUAUCACCGUUCACACUGUUUUCACAAUGCGUUACGCUAAAAAUAAUAACAUGUAAGACCAACCCCGUCAUCAAUAUUCAUUUGAAAGUGUGUUUCGCUGUUUGCAUUCUGCUUUUCAAGGACUUAAGGAUCAUUUAUUGUGAUGUACGACCCAAUGACUGUAGUCAUAAUCAAUUUAUGCUGCACGAGGAAAUCAUGACCCAACAAUUGUCUUCUUUCUUGUAAAAAAAGACAAAUUAAACUCACCACGUCCUCAGCAGCGUGUACUUAUUCCAUUAGCCGUUAGCCGUUAGCUUUCCUUUCAUCCACUCCCUGUAGAUUUAUAAAUGUAAACGACAGUAUUUUAGAAUUUUACAAUAUUUCUUGUUUUUUGCCGCUUAGCACCUCUGGACCUUGACCUUUGACCUUUGACCGAUGUCUUUCUGUGGCGUGGCGGUGGACCCGUUGCUGGUACUCACUUUCAGCGGACGAGCCGAUGCUUCGCCCUUUGGGUGUCUGUUUGAUUGACAGGAGGCGUAAUGUGGCGCCGGGGCGUCCCCGUCCUUUACCCCCCCAUCUCCCCUCUUCACCUCUCCUCUCAACUUCCCCUGCCCGGAUCCCCUUUCUGGAGGUCAGAGGUCAUUCAUUAGGAUGCCCUCCAUUCCUGAUGAUACCCACAUAUACAGAGAGUGUGUGUGUGUGUGUUAUAACCGACACAGGACUCGAGCAGGGGUUGUGAGGGCCGGAGAGGGUUGACAGCUACCAUCAGUCUUUAAACAACCACACACACACACACACAGACGCACACUUUGUCCCCGGGGGCCGUGGUGUCCUCACGUUGCCCUGAAAGGGAGUUCAGCACUGACCGGUCACGCUGAUGACAGAAGAUGUGACGCCGCAUCGGUUCAUCGCCUCAAACCGAAGCGUCUAACACUCAAUCAGGUGUUUGUUUCGUGUUUGAGUCCUCACGUCUCUCUUUCCGAGCUGGGAACGAUGGCUGCGGGUUGUCAGCUCACCGGCCUGCGUCGGGUGGACGGAGGCCGACGGCAGCAGACUGGCGGCACUGGGCGGCUCCCAGUAGGAAUGCACUGAAAUGUGUGAACCAGGGAGGUGCCGCUGGAAACAGGCUCCCAGUCCGCCGUCUCCUGUGGGCAAACAAAGGUGCAAACGUCCUCAUCCCCAGUGAGGACGCAAACGUCUUCAUUCCCAGUGAGGACGCAAACGUCUUCAUUCCCAGAAGGACGCGAACGUCUUCAUUCACAGUGAGGACGCAAACGUCUUCAUUCACAUGAGGACGCAAACGUCUUCAUUCCCAGAAGGACGCGAACGUCUUCAUUCACAGUGAGGACGCAAACGUCUUCAUUCACAGUGAGGACGCA
ensembl:lncRNA